ensembl:lncRNA
GCUGUAAUGUAUUUACUGAUUUUGCUUUUCAAUUUUUUAAAUAAUCUGAAUAAUUCUAAAAUAAUAGGAAAUUAACUAAGUGGCAAAUACGUAUCCAGGGGCGGACUGGCCAUCUGUGUGAUCUGGAGAAUCACAGAACGGCCGGUACUCCAGGACGGCCGGCAGGCCGGCCCACCACCCGCCACGCACGCAGUCAUCACCUGUUUUUUUCCCCACUAAUCUGUUUCACACUCCAGUACUGUAGGUGGCAGCAAUGCACCUUUAAGUUGGAUGCCAGCUGCACUGGCCGUGGCCGCCAAGUAAGGAGAAGAAGUGGAAGAGUAGGAAGAAACCAACAGCAAAGAUGUUAGAUAGAAGAAGCAUAGAAACAAACAAACACUAUGCAUAACGCGCCCGCGGGUAAAAAACGGAAAGAAAAGGAGAAGGCGAGAGAAAAAAAAAUGCGGAAUUUAGAUACUGAGACUGCUAAAUGUCGCAAACGAACUGAAAUAUUUAGCAGCACAGACAGCAGCAGCACCUCGCAGUUAAAUAUUAGCAGCAGUGAAGAAGUGAGCCAGACAGCUAUGCAGCAACAUGCCCCCAGUGAUGAUGAUGAGGGACAGAAAGAUGAGCUGGUUCCACAGGCAGAUCCAGGACAAGUAGGUCGUUGGCUGCUUUGGUCUAAAGGAUGUCCAUCACAGUUCUCUGCUGGGUUUCCAGGUGGUCCUGUUGAACUGACAGGGCUGGAUGUCAGUGGAAUGUCUGCAACAUACUGGGACACUUGUGGGAACACCAGAGAGAGAGAGAGGCAGAAGGCAAAUGCAAGUACGUACAGAGGUGUAAAGGUAUCUGUAAGGGGAAUGGCUGCGUAGGCUGUGUACGGUGUGAAUAGCUGGUGAGGGGCAGCUAGUGAGGUAGGGUGCUAUGUUUUUGUGUUUGUGAAUGCAAAGAGAGAGUUUGAGUCACUUUGUUGAUGGGCAGGGGUCCAUCUAAUGACAGUGCUAUACAUGUGGUCAAACUAUUACUCAAAGCACUCUUGGUUCACAGGUUUGGUCACUGUGAAGGUAUCAAAUAAAACAAAACUGGAAUAAAAUCA